AUACAGUCGGGAGCGAAGGGGCAGCCCUUCGUUCUUCCCUGUUCAAGCGGUUAUCCCGGUGCGCCGGACAAGCC
rnacentral:sRNA from 1 species